rnacentral:rRNA from 1 species
UACGGGGGGAGCAAGCGUUGUUCGGAUUUACUGGGCGUAAAGGGCGCGUAGGCGGCGUAACAAGUCACUUGUGAAAUCUCCGGGCUUAACUCGGAGCGGUCAAGUGAUACUGUUGUGCUAGAGUGCGGAAGGGGCUACUGGAAUUCUCGGUGUAGCGGUGAAAUGCGUAGAUAUCGAGAGGAACACCUGCGGCGAAGGCGGGUUGCUGGGCUGACACUGACGCUGAUGCGCGAAAGCCAGGGGAGCGAACGGG